AUCUCAGACCACUGCAGACAGCAGAGCUGUUCCACUUGUCACACCAAGGCUCUUUUCAGCUUGUGAUGCUAGGAGCUCAGAGGCAACAUCUUCAAUAAGCCUCCAAGGCCACUGUGGAUGAGCUCCUGAGAGGACAGGCCUGGAAGGAAUGUGUGUGCAUCACUUCUGCUGAUGUUCAUGGACUCGAUUUCAGUCACAGAGCCAGGUGAAGCCAUUCCAAGGGGAAUCAGGCCAAAGAAAAUCAAGGAAGAGAUUUACAAGAUGAGAACAUUGCUUCUCCAGCAAAUGCACAAGCUUGUCAAGCAAACAAGAACAUCAGCAGCGAGAGCAUUAGAAAUGCAGCAGAUAAUAAAAACGCUGUGGCUUUCAGUGGGACUUGAAACCCUUACAAAGAGAGAACCCAACACACAGAAUCUAGGUGCUGAGAGUCCCGCGUCGAGGGCAUCAGAGCUGAGCGAGGGGUGACGCCGCAGAAUCCAUGAGCCGUGCCCACUAUUCCAACAUGCCAGUGACCAGGUGUUAACCCUAGAAAGCCACUCUUAAGUUAGAGUGUUUCAGACAAAAGGAAAGAUCAUAGAAGAUACCUGGAGUUCGGGGAUCCCUGGGUGGCUCAGCUGUUUGGCGCCUGCCUUGGGCCUAGGGCACGAUCCUGGAGUCCCGGGAUCGAGUCCCAUGUCAGGCUCCUGGCAUGGAGCCUGCUUCUCCCUCCUCCUGUGUCUCUGCCUCUCUCUCUCUCUCUCUCUCUCUGUCUAUCAUAAAUAAAUAAAUAAAUCUUAAAAAAAAAAAAGAUACC
rnacentral:lncRNA from 12 species